UNUGGGCCGUUACUGACGCUGAGGAGCGAAAGCGUGGGGAGCGAACAGGAUUAGAUACCCUGGUAGUCCACGCCGUAAACGUUGGGCACUAGGUGUGGGGGGCCUUUUCCGGGUCUUCCGCGCCGUAGCUAACGCAUUAAGUGCCCCGCCUGGGGAGUACGGCCGCAAGGCUAAAACUCAAAGGAAUUGACGGGGGCCCGCACAAGCGGCGGAGCAUGCGGAUUAAUUCGAUGCAACGCGAAGAACCUUACCAAGGCUUGACAUGUGCCGGUCGGCUCCGGAGACGGGGUUUCCUCCUUGUGGGGCCGGUUCACAGGUGGUGCAUGGUUGUCGUCAGCUCGUGUCGUGAGAUGUUGGGUUAAGUCCCGCAACGAGCGCAACCCUUGUCCCGUGUUGCCAGCACGUUGUGGUGGGGACUCGCGGGAGACUGCCGGGGUCAACUCGGAGGAAGGUGGGGAUGACGUCAAAUCAUCCUGCCCCUUAUGUCUUGGGCUUCACGCAUGCUACAAUGGCCGGUACAGAGGGCUGCGGUACCGUGAGGUGGAGCGAAUCCCUUAAAGCCGGUCUCAGUUCGGAUCGGUGUCUGCAACUCGACACCGUGAAGUUGGAGUCGCUAGUAAUCGCAGAUCAGCAACGCUGCGGUGAAUACGUUCUCGGGCCUUGUACACACCGCCCGUCACGUCAUGAAAGUCGGCGACACCCGAAGCCCGUGGCCCU
rnacentral:rRNA from 1 species